AUAUCAAUAAGCGGAGGAAAAGAAACUAACAAGGAUUCCCCUAGUAACUGCGAGUGAAGCGGGAAGAGCUCAAAUUUGAAAUCUGGCGGUCAUGCCGUCCGAGUUGUAAUCUGGAGAAGCGUUUUCCGUGCCGAACCGUGUACAAGUCCCUUGGAACAGGGCGUCAUAGAGGGUGAGAAUCCCGUCUUUGACACGGACUCCCGGUGCUCUGCGAUGCGCUCUCGAAGAGUCGAGUUGUUUGGGAAUGCAGCUCAAAAUGGGUGGUAAAUUCCAUCUAAAGCUAAAUAUUGGCGAGAGACCGAUAGCGAACAAGUACCGUGAGGGAAAGAUGAAAAGCACUUUGGAAAGAGAGUAAAACAGUACGUGAAAUUGUUGAAAGGGAAACGCUUGGAGUCAGUCGCGUCUUCCGGAACUCAGCCCUGCUUCUGCUGGGUGCACUUUCCGGUUCGACGGGCCAGCAUCGGCUUYGGGAGGCGGACAAAGGCGCGGGGAAGGUGGCAGCUCCGGCUGUGUUAUAGCCCCGCGUUGUACGCGUCUCCCGGGACCGAGGAAUCCGGCGCUCGUCGCUCGGGAUGCUGGCGUAAUGGCUUUAAACGACCCGUCUUGAAACACGGACCA
rnacentral:rRNA from 1 species